UACGGAGGGAGCUAGCGUUAUUCGGAAUUACUGGGCGUAAAGCGUACGUAGGCGGCUUUGUAAGUUAGAGGUGAAAGCCCGGAGCUCAACUCCGGAACUGCCUUUAAGACUGCAUCGCUUGAAUCCAGGAGAGGUGAGUGGAAUUCCGAGUGUAGAGGUGAAAUUCGUAGAUAUUCGGAAGAACACCAGUGGCGAAGGCGGCUCACUGGACUGGUAUUGACGCUGAGGUACGAAAGCGUGGGGAGCAAACAGG
rnacentral:rRNA from 1 species